AUUGAACGCUGUCGGCAGGCCUCACACAUGCAAGUCGAACGCGUGGCGGACGUGUGAGUAAUGUCUGUGAAACUGCCUGAUGGAGGGGGAUAACUACUGGAAACGGUAGCUAAUACCGCAUACCCUCAGAUGUGCCCAUAUGGGAUUAGCUAGUUGGUGGGGUAACGGCUCACCAAGGCGACGAUCCCUAGCUGGGCUGAGAGGAGGACCAGCCACACUGGAACUGAGACAAGGUCCAGACGCCUACGGGAGGCAGCAGUGGGGAAUAUUGCACAAUGGGCGCAAGCCUGAUGCAGCCAUGCCGCGUGUAUGAAGAAGGCCUUCGGGUUGUAAAGUACUUUCAGCGGGGAGGCGUUACCCGCAGAAGAAGCACCGGCUAAAUCCGGGCCAGCCGCCGCGGUAAUAC
rnacentral:rRNA from 1 species